AUUGAACGCUGGCGGCAGGCCUAACACAUGCAAGUCGAGCGACAGCGGGACCUUCGGGUUGCCGGCGAGCGGCGGACGGGUGAGUAAUGCCUAGGAAUCUGCCUGUUAGUGGGGGAUAACGCGGGGAAACUCGCGCUAAUACCGCAUACGUCCUACGGGAGAAGGCGGGGGCUCUUCGGACCUCGCGCUAACAGAUGAGCCUAGGUCGGAUUAGCUAGUUGGUGGGGUAAUGGCCCACCACGGCGACGAUCCGUAACUGGUCUGAGAGGAUGAUCAGUCACACUGGAAAUGAGACACGGUCCAGACUCCUACGGGAGGCAGCAGUGGGGAAUAUUGGACAAUGGGCGAAAGCCUGAUCCAGCCAUGCCGCGUGUGUGAAGAAGGUCUUCGGAUUGUAAAGCACUUUAAGUCGGGAGGAAGGGAUGUAGGCUAAUACCUUGCAGUUUUGACGUUACCGACAGAAUAAGCACCGGCUAACUUCGUGCCAGCAGCCGCAGUAA
rnacentral:rRNA from 1 species